AAUCUACGUAGAACAAGAAACAAUCAGCAAAAUUGCCGCCAAGCCUAGGGUCUCUCCGAGCCUCCGACCAUCCAAUUUGCGAUCAGGAACGGCGCUAUUUCGCACUAUAGCGUCAUAAUGUACCGAAAGUUUUUCUUAUACAGGGGAGUGAGUUCUUUAUGGUUGAUCCUCCUCUAAAUAGUAAUUACAGACGACCUACUUGCGUGACUCCUAUUAUGGACACGGCAGCGCGUAUUGCUCAGAUGUCCACCACGCAUAGGAGAAUUUUUGGUGAGAGAUUGAAGUUCCUUUAUUCGCAUUGGAACAAACACCGAUCUGAUAUGUGGGGUUGUUCCGAUGUUAUCGCAAUAGGAAAACUACCAGCAUCAAAGGAUCCGCAGUACCGCAAGUCUACGGCAUUGAAUGUCUGGCUGGUGGGUUUUGAGUUUCCAGAGACAAUGAUGGUGUUCACUAAGAAAAGAAUUCAUUUCUUCUGCAACCAAGGUGACUCUUUCAAUCCUGCUCUUCUCAGGAUGCCUGCAAUGAAGGCUGUGGGUGUAGACAUUGUGAGGCAUGUGAUACGAGACGUUGAUGUCUACUCUGCUCUGAUGGAUAAUUUAUUGCGUGACAUUUGCGCUCAAGCAAAGGCCGAUGGCCAUGAAAUUCCUGUUGUGGGACACAUAGGAGGGGAGGUUCCUGUGGGAUUUCUUUUUGAAUCUUGGUCUGAAAAGCUGAAGAAUGCAAAUUUUCGGAUGAGUGAUGUAACUAAUGGGUUGUCUGACUUGUUGUCUGUCAAAGACAAUGAGGAGCUUGUGAAUGUGAAGAGAGCUGCUUUCUUGACUACUAAGGUCAUGAAUAAUAUUGUGGUUCCAAAUCUUGAGUUUGUUAUUAAUCACAGUGAGAAGGUAACACAUUCUUUUUUGAUGGAUGAGAUGGUGAAGGCUAUACAGGAACCCUCUAAAGCUUUUGCAAAGCUGAUUAAUGCAGAAAACGUUGGUAUCUGUUACCCUCCUAUUCUUCAGAGUGGUGUUGGUGGCAAUGAUGAGUUACUUUCAUAUGAUUCUGCUAGUGUGGUCAUAUGUGCUUUUGGAUCCCGUUAUAAGAGUUACUGCUCAAAUGUAGCCAGGACAUUUUUGGUUGAUCCCAAUCCCUUUCAGAGAAAGGCACAUGAAAUUCUUCUCAAGGCCCAUGAUGCAGCCAUUAGUGAGUUGAGGCCUGGGAACAAAGCUAGUUCUGCAUAUCAAGCAGCUCGUUCUGUCGUGGAGAAGGAGGCUCCUGAGUUAGUACCUAAUCUGACAGAAUCUGCUGGGACAGGCAUUGGUAUUGAGCUUGUUGAGUCCCGGUUGAAACUUAAUGCGAACAAUGACCUAGUGCUGAAAGCAGGAAUGGUGUUCAAUGUGUCACUUGGUUUUGAGGACUUGCAGAGUCACAGUGGUCUUACCAAUUCAAAGGAUCAGAGCUUCUCUUUGUUGCUAGCUGAUACUGUUGUUAUUAACAAUGUCAAGCCAGAGGUCUUGACAGUCGAAAGUGCUAAAGCUAUUAAGGUUCCUAGUAAAAUGAAACAAGAUGCUAAUGGAACAGAAGAUCUGCGGUCCAGCAAAAGGAUGAGGUUCAAGCUUGACUGGAAUGAUGAGCUUGACGGGAACGAUGAGCCGACUUUCUCUGUUGUAUCCACUCAGCCUUCCACUUUUUCCCUGGGUGUUCCAUUGCUUUGGUCACAUUCGGGUCUGGCACCUGCUGAUGUACAGACUGACCCUCUCAAUGCCAGAGAGAGGUUGUCAUAUGCGGAAAGGGGGAAGUCCACAGGGAUAAAACCCACAGAGAAAAUGGAUAUGCUAAUAGCCAAGUACUAUAUUGAUGACACAAAGGGUCGUGUGCAGCUAACAGAGCGUACAGUUCCAGUGUCGCAGACAGAAACACCUCCAUGGCAGACAGAAAGAGCUUCAUAUGGUAUACCUUCAUGGAAGAGAGAAAGAUCAUCAUGGAAGAGAGAAAGACCGUCUUCAUUCGUUACACCUCCAUGGGUAGCAAAACCUGCAUUAGGCACACUUGACUGGAAGACAGACAGACCUGUUACACCUCCAAGGAAGAAACAAGGUGCAUUGGGUUAUGCUUAUUGUUUCUUUUAAGCAGCAGAUGUAGAAGUGUUUAGUAAAAUAAAAAUGUCCAGCUUUUUUAUUAAGUUGAGGCUCUUCCAAGUUCCAACCCCAGAAGCAGAAGCUCUUCAAUACUUACUUGUGGAAGCUGCUUAAAGAAUACUGCAACGGAACAUUAAAUGAAAAUUUUGAAAUACCAGAGACUACGCUCGCUCUCUUUGAGAAAUUACAGCCUCUGCGCCAUCUAUCUUCUAUUCUUCUUCGCGCAGUGAAACACUCUCCCUCUGAUUAAAGAGUAACACCAAUUCAUUGUCCAAGGGGGAGAAUGCUCAAAUGGUGAAUAAUCACCCUCAGUCUUGUUCUAUAAUUUUGAUGAUGCUUUGGAAAACAAUGGAGGUAAAUUAUGAGUUGGACAAGGCUGUUGAAGGCCGUCAGAGCCAAAGCUUUACUCUCAAGGCUCCAGUUUUGCCCAGCAUUGGGAGUUUCACUAGUUAUUGCAGAAGGUGAUGCUCUCACAGUUCUUAACAUUUGGAAGACCAGGUGCUAAUCUAAGCGAUGGAGUACUACUUGAUUGAGAGUAGAGAUGGUGCGAGUUGGGUUGUUUGCUUCGAGAUUAGGAUGUCAACACCUGGUGAUCAUCUCUGAAAUAGUUAAUUAUAAUCAUUUUACUCUCAAUGAGUGACUAGUUGAUUUUAUGUAUAUUUGUAACUGUAGGAACUAUGCAAGAGGAGAGCAAUUUAUCAUGUGUUUGAAAUA